UGUGAGUGCUACCAUAAAAAGCCCUUCUAGUUUCUUUUGUCAGCACUAGAUGAUCAUGACUAUAACUCAUAUUUUUUUUAUUUCUUGAAUGACUCUUUUCAUGAACCACAAGAAAUGGCAAGGAAGCGACGCCUACCUGCCGAGUGCCGACUACAUCAAAGGAGGUUACAACAGAAUUGUAUAGGUUGGGACAUGUCUGCAGCAAGCAACAUGAUCGACCCUUCUCGCACUACAGGAAACUGGUUAAAGAACGUGGGUGAAAAACCGUCAAACUUAAUGUAAUAGGCCGUCGAACUUACCGUAAGAACGUGGGUUUACCGACGAAUAUAGCCGACGGCGAUUUUUGGACGAACUUAACAUUAAGAACGUGGGUACCGUCGAACUUAACAUUAAGAACGUGCGUUUUUAAGUUCGACGGGGGCCGUCGAAUUUUUUCCCAUAAGUUCGACAGCACCCACGUUCUUAAGGUUAAGUUCGACGGGGUCACGUGGCCGUCGAACUUAUGUGUCCUGCAGAGGUCUGCGCGGACUGCACAAUAAGUUCGACGGUACCCACGUUCUUAACCUUAAGAACGUGGGUACCCACGUUCUUAACCCUUUUUC
rnacentral:lncRNA from 7 species